rnacentral:rRNA from 1 species
GAUGAACGCUGGCGGCGUGCCUAAUACAUGCAAGUCGAGCGAACGGACGCGACUCUUGCUUCUCUGAUGUUAGCGGCGGGCGUGUGUGUAACACGUGUAUACCCUACCUAUCAGACUGGUAUAACUUCGGGACACCGGAGCUAAUACCGUAUGAUCUUUUGAACCGCAUGGUUCAUAAGUGAAUGACGGUCUUUCUGUCACUUAUAGAUGGUUCCGCGCUGCAUUAGCUAGUUGGUACGGUAACGGCCUACCAAGGCAAGCAUGCGUGGGCGACCUGAGAGGGGGAUCGGCCACACGGGAGGUGGACCGCGGUCCAGACUCCUACGGGAGGCAGCAGAAGGGAAUGUGCCGCAGUGGGCGAAAGCCUUACGGAACAAGCGCGAGUCAGAGAUAGCGGUGUCCGGUUCGUAAAGCCCUGUUAUGAGGGAAGAACAGAUGUGGAAGGAAAUGUGCACUGCGUGACGGUACCUAAUAAGAAAGCAACGGCUAACUACGUG